rnacentral:rRNA from 1 species
UUCAGCACUAAGUCACUUUAUCUUUAUGGUAAAUGUGAGAUGCAGUGUAUGGAAUGUUCAAUUUCUAGUAUGAAAAAUUAACGAUUUAAGUCCUUCUUAAAUGAGGCCAUUUACCCAUAGAGGGUGCCAGGCCCGUAUAACGUUAAUGAUUACUAGAGAACAUUUCCAAAGAGUCGUGUUGCUUGAUAGUGCAGCACUAAGUGGGUGGUAAACUCCAUCUAAAACUAAAUAUAACCAUGAGACCGAUAGUAAACAAGUACCGUGAGGGAAAGUUGAAAAGAACUCUGAAUAGAGAGUUAAAUAGUACGUGAAACUGCUUAGAGGUUAAGCCCGAUGAACCUGAAUAUCCAUUAUAGAAAACUCAUCAUUAUGAUUGUAAUAUUAAUAAUAUUAUAAUAAUGGUGUGCAUUUUUUCUAUAUAAGGACAUUGUAAUCUAUUAAUAUAAAAUUAAAUUUAUCAUAAGAUCAAUUGCGCUAAGUUUAUUCAAAUUAUUAUGCUUGCAUUUUAACAUAGAAUAAAUGCUUUUGAUUUGAUAAAGUAUUGAUAGAUUUAUUAUAUACAGUGCUGGAAUAUUUUUAAUAUUCUAUAAUAGCAUGAUGAACAUGUUUGUUGUGUUUAUUAUAUGCACUUGUAUGAUUAACAAUGCGAAAGAUUCAGGAUACCUUCGGGACCCGUCUUGAAACACGGACCAAGGAGUCUAACAUAUUUGCAAGUUAUUGGGAAUUAAAAACCUAAUAGCGAAAUUAACAUAACUUAUAUAAUGGGAUUAGUUUUUAGUCUAUUUAUAGUCUAUUAAUUCAAUCCCGGGGCGUUCUAUCUGUUAUGUAUUUUGAUACUUGUAUCAUUUAUACCUCUAACUAGAGCGUACCUUGAGCAUAUAUGCUGUGACCCGAAAGAUGGUGAACUAUACUUGAUCAGGUUGAAGUCAGGGGAAACCCUGAUGGAAGACCGAAACAGUUCUGACGUGCAAAUCGAUUGUCAGAAUUGAGUAUAGGGGCG